UCUGGUGCAGCGCUGAGUAAGGUCCUGACUGACAGUGCUUCCCCCCUUACCCGAAGCAGGAGAGGAGGUACCUGGAGCUGCGCCGCACGGAGGAAGACAUCCGGAUCAGCGGACAGGAGGACAGCACGCAUCUUACACACAAUGUCAUACUGUAUGGCACAAGUGGACAUACAUAUCUUUACUGGAUGUGGACAAGGCCAUUUAGCUUGGAUUCCAUUUCAGGUUAUACUUACUGCGUUUGAUACUCACAAUCAAAAUGAGGGGAGUGUGGAUGACGUCUUGGAGGUGUGUCCAAAAUUUGGAGUGGGGGGACAGAACAUACGGACGAUAAUCUUCGUGGCGGGGUAGCUAGCCUGCUGUGGUUGGGCCGGGAGAUACGACCUUGCUUUCUUUUCGGCCACAGGUUUUUUGUGGUGAUGUCUUACAGAAGUGCCACUUCUGCUGCUCCAUACUUCUUUUGAUGGACCUUUUAAUGAAAGUGCAAUUUUGUUAUG